GUGGGGAAUAUUGGGCAAUGGGCGAAAGCCUGACCCAGCAACGCCGCGUGAAGGAAGAAGGCUUUCGGGUUGUAAACUUCUUUUGUCAGGGACGAAAAAAAUGACGGUACCUGACGAAUAAGCCACGGCUAACUACGUGCCAGCAGCCGCGGUAAUACGUAGGUGGCAAGCGUUAUCCGGAUUUACUGGGUGUAAAGGGCGUGUAGGCGGGAAAGCAAGUCAGAUGUGAAAACUAUGGGCUCAACCCAUAGCCUGCAUUUGAAACUGUUUUUCUUGAGUACUGGAGAGGCAGAUGGAAUUCCUAGUGUAGCGGUGAAAUGCGUAGAUAUUAGGAGGAACACCAGUGGCGAAGGCGACUUGCUGGCCAGAAACUGACGCUGAGGCGCGAAAGCCAGGGGAGCAAACGGGAUUAGAAACCCGGGUAGUCC
rnacentral:rRNA from 1 species